UACGUAGGGUGCAAGCGUUGUCCGGAAUCAUUGGGCGUAAAGAGCGUGUAGGCGGCCCGAUCAGUCCGCUGUGAAAGUCCAGGGCUCAACCCUGGAAUGCCGGUGGAUACUGUCGGGCUAGAGUCCGGAAGGGGCGAGUGGAAUUCCUGGUGUAGCGGUGAAAUGCGCAGAUAUCAGGAGGAACACCAAUUGCGAAGGCAGCUCGCUGGGACGUUACUGACGCUGAGACGCGAAAGCGUGGGGAGCAAACAGG
rnacentral:rRNA from 1 species